rnacentral:rRNA from 1 species
UACAUGGGGUGCAAACGUUGCUCGGAAUUAUUGGGCGUAAAGCGCGCGUAGGCGAUUACUUAAGUCGGAUGUGAAAGCCCUCGGCUUAACUGAGGAAGUGCACCCGAAACUGAGUAGCUAGAGUACGAAAGAGGGUCGCGGAAUUCCCGGUGUAGAGGUGAAAUUCGUAGAUAUCGAGAGGAACACCUGCGGCGAAGGCGGGUUGCUGGGCUGACACUGACGCUGAUGCGCGAAAGCCAGGGGAGCGAACGGG